AUGCAAAUGGGGCCGCCCGGAGGCUCUGCGGGCUGCAAGCAUCCUGGCUGCAAGCCCUGCACCCCCCCCCCCGUGUCCCCCCCUGCGCCCCCCCUGCGCCCCCCUGUGCCCCUUCCCAAACCUUGGUGCUGCCAUUCCCUCGCUCUCCCCCCGGGGCAUCCAUGGGGUUGGGGGGCAAUUCCCCGAGAUGUGGGAUGUGAGACACGGGAACAGGCAGGGUGGGGGCCACGGAGACCCCCCCCAUUAUUACUCCCCGCUAUAAAUACCCGGUGGGCUCAGCUGUGGCUCCGCUCCGAAACCGGAGCCGACGGGGAGGCAGCUGCCAGGGAAAGUGAUCGGGAGCGUGGGGAGCGUGGGGCAGGGCUGGCCCCCUGUCCCCCUGUCCCCCAGGGCAGUGGGGGGCUGGGGCUGUCCCUCCUGUCCCCCACAGGGACACACAGACAGGGGGGGCACCCCUGGGGGGCCACGCGUCGCCUCGCCACGGCUGUGCCAGGGGGUGCUCGGCCCCGCUCCCCAGAAGAGGGUCGACCAGGGGGGGGCUUCUCCGUGGUAAAUUUAGCUCAAGGGACACGCCGGGCUGAGGAAUUCGGCAGCACAGCCGGAUUCAGCCUGGAACGGGGACGUGGAUCCCGCAGAGCUUCCCCUGGGGGGGUGGCAGCCCCAUGUCCGGCUCCCUGGGGAGCCCCCAGCACCCCACAAACCAUCAUUAUUCCAGGAUCCCUCGGGUGCGCGCUGCCUCCCCAGCCAGGCCGCCCUGACUCACCGGCCACAUCCUGUCCCCAAAUCCCUGCGUGGCCAGCACGGCCCUGGGUGGGGUUCUCCCAAACCUGCCCGGCCUCUUUUGGAGGAGCCGAGCGGGUUCUGUGUGUGGGGUGGGGGCUCUGGGCACCCUGCAGGGAGCGGGGUUGGGCCGGGAGCUGCUGCAGCCCCGCCGCCACGUGCUGUGCGCGGCACAAAUCCCUGCUUCCUGCGAGCAUCCCGCAGCCCUCCCGCGCCCCCCGUGUCCCCAAGUGGGGGCUCCCUGGGUGCCCUUGGAGCCCCCUUCCCCAGCAGCACGGCACCAGGACCCCCUCCUGCCUCUCCUCCCGCGAGGAACCCGGGGCUGCAGGAGCCCGCAGCCGCGCGAGGCUGCCCGGGGAGAACACGCGGGGCGCUUUCAUCUUCAAAGCUCUCCCUGCGCCGCCUUUCAUCCCCUCGCCUCCCCGGUGCCUGGGAGGUCUCCGCUAUCUCCUCCUCAUCUCGCAACCCCGGAGCAGCGAGGACACGGCCAAGCUCCGAGGAGUUUCGCUGCAGAGGGCGCGAAGGCAGCGCCCGGCAGGGCUGCGCGCUUGGCAGCGGCGCUGA
rnacentral:lncRNA from 1 species